rnacentral:rRNA from 1 species
UACAGAGGGUGCAAGCGUUGUUCGGAAUUAUUGGGCGUAAAGGGAGUGUAGGCGGCUUGUUAAGUCUUCUGUGAAAUCUACGGGCUUAGCCUGUAAAGUGCAGAGGAAACUGGCGAGCUUGAGUGUCGGAGAGGGUAGCGGAAUUCCGGGUGUAGCGGUGAAAUGCGUAGAUAUCCAGAGGAACACCGAUGGCGAAGGCAACUGCCUGGGCCUGAUCUGACACUGAGGCACGAAAGCGUGGGUAGCAAACAGG